rnacentral:rRNA from 1 species
AGCCGUUGGGGGGGUGCUUACACAUGCAAGUCGAGCGGUAAGGCCCUUCGGGGUACACGAGCGGCGAACGGGUGAGUAACACGUGAGCAACCUGCCCCUGACUCCGGGAUAAGCGGUGGAAACGCCGUCUAAUACCGGAUAUGACACACCAUCUCCUGGUGGUGUGUGGAAAGUUUUGUCGGUCAGGGAUGGGCUCGCGGCCUAUCAGCUAGUUGGUGGGGUAAAGGCCUACCAAGGCGAUUACGGGUAGCCGGCCUGAGAGGGCGACCGGCCACACUGGGACUGAGACACGGCCCAGACUCCUGCGGGAGGCAGCAGUGGGGAAUAUUGCACAAUGGGCGAAAGCCUGAUGCAGCGACGCCGCGUGGGGGAUGACGGCCUUCGGGUUGUAAACCUCUUUUACCACCAACGCAGGCCCCGGGUUCUCUCGGGGUUGACGGUAGGUGGGGAAUAAGGACCGGCUAACUACGUGCCAGCAGCCGCGGUAAUACGUAGGGUCCGAGCGUUGUCCGGAAUUAUUGGGCGUAAAGAGCUCGUAGGCGGCGUGUCGCGUCUGCUGUGAAAGACCGGGGCUUAACCCCGGUUCUGCAGUGGAUACGGGCAUGCUAGAGGUAGGUAGGGGAGACUGGAAUUCCUGGUGUAGCGGUGAAAUGCGCAGAUAUCAGGAGGAACACCGGUGGCGAAUGCGGGUCUCUGGGCCUUACCUGACGCUGAGGAGCGAAAGCAUGGGGAGC